rnacentral:snRNA from 1 species
AACAAUCUGCACAAUCCACGAUG